rnacentral:rRNA from 1 species
AUUGAACGCUGGCGGAAUGCUUUACACAUGCAAGUCGAGCGGCAGCGCGGGGCGAACCCUGGCGGCGAGCGGCGAACGGGUGAGUAACAUAUCGGAACGUACCCUGUCGUGGGGAGUAACUAUCCGAAAGGAUAGCUAAUACCGCAUACGACCUGAGGGUGAAAGCGGGGACCGCAAGGCCUCGCGCGAUAGGAGCGGCCGAUAUCGGAUUAGCUAGUUGGUGAGGUAAAGGCUCACCAAGGCGACGAUCCGUAGCGGGUCUGAGAGGACGACCCGCCACACUGGAACUGAGACACGGUCCAGACUCCUACGGGAGGCAGCAGUGGGGAAUUUUGGACAAUGGGCGCAAGCCUGAUCCAGCCAUGCCGCGUGAGUGAAGAAGGCCUUCGG